rnacentral:rRNA from 1 species
GAUGAACGCUGGCGGCGUGCUUAACACAUGCAAGUCGAGCGAACAGACGAGGAGCUUGCUGCUUUGACGUUAGCGGAGCACGGGUGAGUAACACGUGUAUAAUCUCCUUAUAAGACGGGUAUAACUUCGGGAAACCGGAGCUAAUACGGGAGAAUAUAUUGAUCCGCAGGGGUGAAUGGUGAAAGACGGUUGUGCUGGCUCGUCUAGAUGGAUCCGGGCCGCAUUAGAUAGUUGGUAAGUUAACGGGUUACCAAGGCUACGAGGCGUGGCCGACCUGCGAGGGUGGUCGGCGACACUGGAGCUGGGACGCCGUCCAGACUCCUACGAGAGGCCGCAGUAGGGAAUCUUCCGCAAUAGGCGGAAGCCUUACGCAGCAACGCCGCGUGAGUGAUGAAGGUCUUCGGUUCGUAAUACUCUGUUAUUGGGGAAGAACCACUGUGUCCGUAAAUGUGGACGUCUUGACGGUACCUGGUCAGAAAGCAACGGCUAACUACGUG